rnacentral:lncRNA from 1 species
UGAAUUUCUGCACAAAGUCUCAUGUUUCCGUAACAUCCGUUUUAAUUAAAAUAAGGCAAAAUAGUGCAGAUCAAAUAGAUGCAAUAGAGGCUGCAGAUACGAGAUAAGCAAAGCAGUAAAACUACAAGGCCUUAAAACUUCUAAAAGAGGGUAUCAACGCUCAUAUUUUCUGUUUCAUUUUAUCAAAAUGCUCAACUGGCAGUCCUCUUCCUCUUCCUUUUCCACUUAUACUACUUGCUACAGAAGGAUCCGAUGUACAAUGUCUUCACAAAGGCUCCCAGUUUAGUAACACAGUAAGGUAAGCAGUCAAGCUUCAGAAUUCUUUUUGAAUGGUAUAAGAACAAUAUAAAAUGCAUUUACAACAGCCUCAGAAUUGAAAUCUUGAAGACCAUCUCAGUACGAAAAGAUGCAUACGGAACUCAAGAAUGUAGAAUAGGAACCAUAAACCUACUGAAAUCAUAUUACUCAAUAUCAUUACUCCCUACAUCAAUGGUGAUUUGAACUAUACUCUCUAAGAGAAGACUGAUUCCAAGAUAUAAUUGUCCUCCAUACAAAAUACUCUGAGCUGAUAUUUCUGCAUAUCUGAUCUCAACAUGGGAACUGCUAUCCAUCAACAGGAAUAGGAUACUCGUAAACUCUACUAUACUAGCUAAAGUAACUGAUCUGCAUUCUUUUUAAUCCAUCCUGCAGUGAGUAAUUUCGAGCUUUGUAAUACAAAUCAAAUUUGCUUAAAAUAUUAUCUUUUUCUAUAACUGUAAUGUCCAGAUCAGCUUAGAGGCACCUCGACUAAUCCACGGGUCCCUGCUACCUAGCACCAACACUGGUGUUGGUAACUCUGACUGCCAAGGCUUGAUCGGGUAGGAAGAAAUCACCAAGUGUUUUUACCUACGAUGGGAUUUGAAGUUGAGACAUCUUAAUUCUCAACCCACUUCAUUGACCAUUAGCCACUGAGAAAUCCCUAAGGACCAAUUCGCACACGGUUCAAAACUCGGUGAAUAAUAGGUCUGCCCCUCUAUCCUUCUCCGCUUAAAUACAUGUUAGUCCAUAGCAAUUAUCAAACUCGCAACGUGUACCUAACCCACACAUCCUGCGCUAUGUCUUACCACUGAACCAAAGCCUUUGGAGCUUGUUUAAAAUUAUAUUUACCAUUAAAUAACACAAUAAUCAGUUCAAACAUUUUUCCAAUGUUCAUUGGCAUAGAUGAAUAAAUAUAAAUAAUACAACAUUUUUUAGAGAAUAAGACUCAUUAUAAAUAUAUCUAGCCUACAAAUAUCUUAGAAGCUUUGAUCAACCAACCAAAAGAUAUUAUUGGAGAUGGGGGAUUAAGUGACAAUCAUGGCAGAAAGAAAAAAUAAAGAGACGGCUCAUACUCCUGCCAUUCAUCUCGAGAAGUACCCUCCAGAUAUCUCAAAUAUGCAGCCAAAGCAUUCAACACUAGACUUGUACCACCUCCCACUAUAUUUCCACAUUGGGUGACAAAAGCAGAUUUGACGGGUCUCUUCCUCUGAAUUUUCUUGAGACUUGAAUCACUUUGACUGUUCCCAAUCCCAUUAAACUUUUCCUCUCUUAAACCUUGAACCAUGUGACAAAAGCAGAUUUUACAGGUCUCUUCCUCUGAAUUUUCUUGAGACUUGAAUCACUUUGACUGUUCCCAAUCCCAUUAAACUUUUCCUCUCUCAAACCUUGAACCACAGUACUCAGAGUUGCUGCCUGGUCUUUUCGCAAUUCACUUGUAGCUGAAUCCUUCUCAAUCAAAGCCCAUCUGUUCCCUAACGUGC